rnacentral:rRNA from 1 species
GACGAACGCUGGCGGCGUGCUUAACACAUGCAAGUCGAACGCUGAAGCACCAGCUUGCUGGUGUGGAUGAGUGGCGAACGGGUGAGUAAUACGUGAGUAACCUGCCCUUGACUCUGGGAUAAGCCCGGGAAACUGGGUCUAAUACUGGAUGCUACAUGUCACCGCAUGGUGGUGUGUGGAAAGGGUUUACUGGUCUUGGAUGGGCUCACGGCCUAUCAGCUUGUUGGUGAGGUAAUGGCUCACCAAGGCGACGACGGGUAGCCGGCCUGAGAGGGUGACCGGCCACACUGGGACUGAGACACGGCCCAGACUCCUACGGGAGGCAGCAGUGGGGAAUAUUGCACAAUGGGCGAAAGCCUGAUGCAGCGACGCCGCGUGAGGGAUGACGGCCUUCGGGUUGUAAACCCCUUUCAGCAGGGAAGAAGCCACAAGUGACGGUACCUGCAGAAGAAGCGCCGGCUAACUACGUG